UAACGAAUAUUCCGCAAUGCGCGAAAGCGUGACGGAGCAAUGCCGCGUGCAGGAUGAAGCCCUUCCGGGUGUAAACUGCUGUCAGGGGUCACCAAGCUCUGAGGAGCCCCAAAGGAAGGACCGGCUAACUCUGUGCCAGCAGCCGCGGUAAUACAGAGGGUCCAAGCGUUAAUCGGAAUCACUGGGCUUAAAGGGUCCGCAGGCGGACCAGCAAGUGUCUUGUGAAAUACCACCGCUCAACGGUGGAAUUGCUCGGCAGACUGCUGGUCUUGAGCUCGACAGGGGUCGUCAGAACGUUAGGUGGAGCGGUGAAAUGCGUAGAUAUCUAACGGAAUGCCAACGGUGAAGACAGACGACUGGGUCGAUGCUGACGCUCAGGGACGAAAGCAUGGGUAGCGAACGGGAUUAGAUACCCCCGUAGUCC
rnacentral:rRNA from 1 species